rnacentral:misc_RNA from 1 species
UCCGGUUUGUCACCGGCAGUCUCAUUAGAGUGCCCAACUGAAUGUAGCAACUAAUGACAAGGGUUGCGCUCGUUGCGGGACUUAACCCAACAUCUCACGACACGAGCUGACGACAGCCAUGCAGCACCUGUGUUCCCGUUCCCUUUCGGGCACAGCCCACUUUCGAGGGCCUCCAGGACAUGUCAAGGGUAGGUAAGGUUUUUCGCGUUGCAUCGAAUUAAUCCACAUAAUCCACCGCUUGUGCGGGUCCCCGUCAAUUCCUUUGAGUUUUAAUCUUGCGACCGUACUCCCCAGGCGGUCAACUUCACGCGUUAGCUGCGGUACUGAGAAAUCGCUUCCCCAACACCUAGUUGACAUCGUUUAGGGCGUGGACUAC